UACGUAGGGUGCGAGCGUUGUCCGGAAUUAUUGGGCGUAAAGGGCUCGUAGGCGGUUUGUCGCGUCAGGAGUGAAAACUCGGGGCUUAACCCCGAGCCUGCUUCUGAUACGGGCAGACUAGAGGUAUGCAGGGGAGAACGGAAUUCCUGGUGUAGCGGUGAAAUGCGCAGAUAUCAGGAGGAACACCGGUGGCGAAGGCGGGUCUCUGGGCCGAUACUGACGCUGAGGAGCGAAAGCGUGGGGAGCGAACAGG
rnacentral:rRNA from 1 species